AAAGACAAUAAUGGUAGAGAAAUAAUUAAUCAAUGAAAAAUGAAAGAAAGAAAAGAAAGAAAUGGAAGAUAAUGGUCUAGAAGGCGUGGAGAGAGCAGCAGCGACACAAAGAAGAUUAGAAAUGUUUCAAAUGAGUAAGAGACUCUGUUUGCGAAAUAUAACCCUAAAAAUAUGUUAUUACCUCAGUUAUUUUUUUAACAAAGGCAAUAAGGAUUUAUGGCCUCGACUCUAUAAAGAACCGUUGCCUAAACCUUCUAAAAAAAAAUUCAGUUACUUUAGGUAUCGGUUCUUUUUUAACCGAGGCAUAUAC
rnacentral:lncRNA from 1 species